GCCCUCUUCCUCCUGUGCGGCUGCGGCUGCGCCUCUCCCUCUCCUCGGUCCUCCACUCGCCAGUUCCUCUCCAAUCCGUCCUUUGCUAGCUACGUUCCCGGCAGCACACGGCGCCGCCCUGCAGAUGCGCGUGUGCGUGUGUGCGUGUGCGGACACGCGCGGCUCCAUCGAUCCCGGCAGCACGCGGCGCCGCCCUGCAGAUGCGCGUGUGCGUGUGCGUGUGCGGACACGCGCGGCUCCAUCGAUCCCGGCAGCACGCGGCGCCCCCCUGCAGAUGCGCUGGCUGCGUGGAGGCCGAGCCGCUCGACAGUGGCGACCAACCCUUAGAGACGCGAGGUAGCGCAAGGUGCCCCAUCCUCUUCGUUACGUACACUGACCAUCGCUGCAGAUCUGAGUAGUGAGCGGUGGAGGGCGACAACCUCGCGCAUGGAGUUUCGGCCAUGACGACAGCGCUCGCGGUGACGGACGAGGUGCCCCUGCCGACAGGCGGUAGGGGAUAGUUUGGCUGCUGCCGAGGUCUCGUGGGAGCAGGUGGCUGUCAUCACUCAGUACACGGCGCUCGGUCAGCUAGCUACGGCUUGCUCUGCGCUCGGGGAGAUUAAGACUCUUUCAGAUAUAUAAUUCCUUGGCUAAUGUGCAUAGGGAAGUACCAACAACAACCACAUUCUUGCAGCCUUGGCUGCGAUUCUGGGCGAAUGAAGAAAGGAGAGGGGUUCAGUCAAGAGAUAGUAUUUUGGUCGUUUCUCGUGGCUCCUCUUUCUUGCUUGUGCAGUAUUUGCACAUUCUUACCACUGCCACCAGAUUGCUUGUGCAUGAACUUGUCUGGUGCAGGAAGUUUGUGCUAGCUGUUGGACUUGUUAUUUUGCUAGAUCAUUUUUAUUCAUGUUUUGUUGUGAUUUUGUAUAGAGACAUGGGCUGCAACAUGUAGUUUCAUGCAAGAACAGUGGAAUUGAUGAACUUGGUGUUUUAUAUGAUUUUGGUAAAGCAAAAACACCGAAAAGACUUUAUACUGUGCAA